GACGUAGGGCGCGAGCGUUGUCCGGAUUUAUUGGGCGUAAAGAGCUCGUAGGCGGCUUGUCGCGUCGACUGUGAAAUCCCGCGGCUCAACUGCGGGUCUGCAGUCGAUACGGGCAGGCUAGAGUUCGGUAGGGGAGACUGGAAUUCCUGGUGUAGCGGUGAAAUGCGCAGAUAUCAGGAGGAACACCGAUGGCGAAGGCAGGUCUCUGGGCCGAUACUGACGCUGAGACGCGAAAGCGUGGGGAGCAAACAGG
rnacentral:rRNA from 1 species